rnacentral:rRNA from 1 species
UACGCAGGGGGCAAGCGUUGUCCGGAUUUAUUGGGCGUAAAGAGCGUGUAGGCGGCCAGACAGGUCCGUUGUGAAAACUAGAGGCUUAACCUCUAGACGUCGAUGGAAACCGUCUGGCUAGAGUCCGGAAGAGGAGAAUGGAGUUCCUGGUGUAGCGGUGAAAUGCGCAGAUAUCAGGAAGAACACCCGUGGCUAAGGCGGUUCUCUAGUACGGUACUGACGCUGAGACGCGAAAGCGUGGGGAGCGAACAGG